AACGUAGGAGACAGACGUUAUCCGGAGUUACUGGGCGUAAAGGGCGUGUAGGUGGUAUCGUAAGUCUGGCGUGAAAUUUCUCGGCUUAACCGAGGCAGGUCGUCGGAUACUGCGAGGCUAGAGGACGGUAGAGGCGUGUGGAAUUCCGGGUGUAGUGGUGAAAUGCGUAGAGAUCCGGAGGAACACCAGUGGCGAAGGCGACACGCUGGGCCGUACCUGACACUGAUGCGCGACAGCAUGGGGGAGCAAACAGG
rnacentral:rRNA from 1 species